rnacentral:rRNA from 1 species
UGUAUAAUGGGUCAGCGACUUAUAUUCUGUAGCAAGGUUAACCGAAUAGGGGAGCCGAAGGGAAACCGAGUCUUAACUGGGCGUUAAGUUGCAGGGUAUAGACCCGAAACCCGGUGAUCUAGCCAUGGGCAGGUUGAAGGUUGGGUAACACUAACUGGAGGACCGAACCGACUAAUGUUGAAAAAUUAGCGGAUGACUUGUGGCUGGGGGUGAAAGGCCAAUCAAACCGGGAGAUAGCUGGUUCUCCCCGAAAGCUAUUUAGGUAGCGCCUCGUGAAUUCAUCUCCGGGGGUAGAGCACUGUUUCGGCAAGGGGGUCAUCCCGACUUACCAACCCGAUGCAAACUGCGAAUACCGGAGAAUGUUAUCACGGGAGACACACGGCGGGUGCUAACGUCCGUCGUGAAGAGGGAAACAACCCAGACCGCCAGCUAAGGUCCCAAAGUCAUGGUUAAGUGGGAAACGAUGUGGGAAGGCCCAGACAGCCAGGAUGUUGGCUUAGAAGCAGCCAUCAUUUAAAGAAAGCGUAAUAGCUCACUGGUCGAGUCGGCCUGCGCGGAAGAUGUAACGGGGCUAAACCAUGCACCGAAGCUGCGGCAGCGACGCUGAUGCGUUGUUGGGUAGGGGAGCGUUCUGUAAGCCUGCGAAGGUGUGCUGUGAGGCAUGCUGGAGGUAUCAGAAGUGCGAAUGCUGACAUAAGUAACGAUAAAGCGGGUGAAAAGCCCGCUCGCCGGAAGACCAAGGGUUCCUGUCCAACGUUAAUCGGGGCAGGGUGAGUCGACCCCUAAGGCGAGGCCGAAAGGCGUAGUCGAUGGGAAACAGGUUAAUAUUCCUGUACUUGGUGUUACUGCGAAGGGGGGACGGAGAAGGCUAUGUUGGCCGGGCGACGGUUGUCCCGGUUUAAGCGUGUAGGCUGGUUUUCCAGGCAAAUCCGGAAAAUCAAGGCUGAGGCGUGAUGACGAGGCACUACGG